AGUGGGGAAUAUUGGACAAUGGGCGAAAGCCUGAUCCAGCAAUGCCGCGUGAGUGAUGAAGGCCCUAGGGUUGUAAAGCUCUUUUACCCGGGAUGAUAAUGACAGUACCGGGAGAAUAAGCUCCGGCUAACUCCGUGCCAGCAGCCGCGGUAAUACGGAGGGAGCUAGCGUUGUUCGGAUAUACUGGGCGUAAAGCGCACGUAGGCGGCGCCGUAAGUCAGGGGUGAAAUCCCGGAGCUCAACUCCGGAACUGCCCUUGAAACUGCAGUGCUAGAAUCCUGGAGAGGCGAGUGGAAUUCCGAGUGUAGAGGUGAAAUUCGUAGAUAUUCGGAAGAACACCAGUGGCGAAGGCGACUCGCUGGACAGGUAUUGACGCUGAGGUGCGAAAGCGUGGGGAGCAAA
rnacentral:rRNA from 1 species